rnacentral:rRNA from 1 species
GUGGGGAAUAUUGGACAAUGGGCGAAAGCCUGAUCCAGCAAUGCCGCGUGAGUGAUGAAGGCCUUAGGGUUGUAAAGCUCUUUUACCCGGGAUGAUAAUGACAGUACCGGGAGAAUAAGCUCCGGCUAACUCCGUGCCAGCAGCCGCGGUAAUACGGAGGGAGCUAGCGUUGUUCGGAAUUACUGGGCGUAAAGCGCACGUAGGCGGCUUUGCAAGUUAGAGGUGAAAGCCCGGGGCUCAACUCCGGAAUUGCCUUUAAAACUGCAUCGCUUGAAUCCGGGAGAGGUGAGUGGAAUUCCGAGUGUAGAGGUGAAAUUCGUAGAUAUUCGGAAGAACACCAGUGGCGAAGGCGGCUCACUGGACCGGUAUUGACGCUGAGGUGCGAAAGCGUGGGGAGCAAACAGGAUUAGAUACCCUUGUAGUCC